rnacentral:sRNA from 2 species
UCGGCCCGUCCGAGAAGCCUUAAAACUGUGACGACACAUUCACCUUGAACCAAGGGUUCAAGGGUUACAGCCUGCGGCGGCAUCUCGGAGAUUCC